AGCAGGCUGGGACACGCCGUCCGGGCCAGGGCUUCGAGGACCUGCGGCCACCGGCUGUCCCUCGCUUCACUUUCUAAGCAUCCCCUGCCCCGGGCCUGCAGCCCGGAUAAACUGGGAGACCGAGGGGCUCUUGGGGAACCAGUUGCCUGGGCCUAGAAAGAGCGCGCGGAACCCUCUUGUCCCUCGGGAGUAACCUGCCAUAUUGUGAGGAAGCCAAAGCUACAUGGAAAGGCCACAUACUGAUAUUCUGGUCACAAGGCCCACCCAACAGCCAGUACAAACCACCAGAUGCAUAUGAGAUGCAUCAGAUGAUUCAAAUGAUUCCAGCCCCUAGAGGCUUGGAACCUUCUUCCAACUUCUGCCUUGGAACCUUCCAGCGGAGGCCCAAGCAUCAUGGAACAGAGCAGAGGACUCUGAUUCUUCCUAUAAAAGAGGAGCCUUGAGAAUGUGCCCAAUCUACACACAUCCUCCAGGAUGCCCAGCAACAAUCUGGGACCAGAGAUCCCAAAGCAGAAAAGAGGAAGAACAUCGAGAAUGGAGGUUCUGGCAGCUGUCAAACCUCAGAUGCAGGAAAGAUCUGGAGUGGCCAAAGAUGUUCUGAAGAUCUGAUGGUGAAGCUGGGGAAAGCCCUACUUCUGGACCCCCUGCCCUGUACCCCCCCUGGACAGGAAAAUUGAAGAAUCCUCAAGCCUGGUGAGGAAGCAUGCUCAUAAAUUCAGUUGUUCCUUAAAAUACUACCUCUUGGUAGUAUUUUAACAUUAGAUGGACUUCUGAGGGGUGCUAGGUUGUUCCACUGUUGGAAAAUAUGGACAUCAUGAUCAUUAGCCUUGUUAUUAAUUACAAAUACUAGGAAACAAGGUGAAAUUCCAUUCACAAGGAAAAACAAGAGGGUCUAUUCACAUGCAGAAUGCUAUCUAUACAGCUGUUAAUGAAAAUAGGUCCAUGCAGGCUUGACAUGGCUAAGUCUCCAAAAUACACUGUCACGUGAAGAAAACACAACUUGCAUGCAUGAUAUUACUUAUGGAAAAAGAGAUAUCUCCAAACAAAGAGCUUUCAAGGGCUACAUAUUGUACUUAUGAGAUCUGAAAAAAUACACAUCAAACUGAUCACAGCAGUUACCUCUGGUUGGGGGUAGACAUAACCAGAUGGAAGGAUCAAAGGGGACUCUGGUUUUCAAGGGGUGACCACCUGUCCAGGUUUGCCCAAGAGGCCUGUUUUCCCUGAUGCAGGUGUGACUAAUAAUAGUGCUUGCUUUUCACUCUCAAAAGUGUUCUGUUUCAGUGAUAAAUUAUAUAAUGGUCUUACUUAUCUAUGGUGUUAAUUUUUUACAAUAAGAACGCAUUAAUUCAACCCCGUGUCAUUUCUGAUAAUGCAUAAUGUAGAAGGUAAAGUCCUCCUCCCGCCCUCCAGGCCCCGGACCCACUCCUCAGAGUCAGGCAUGGUAACAGUUUCCUAGCAUCCUUCUUGAAACUGUAAAUCCAUAUCUAACCUCAUCACCUUGACACACAGAGAAAGAGAUAUAUGAAAUUAGGCAGUACAUACUGUUUCUAAACUUGCUUUUCUCACUUAAUUUUGUCUCUGUCACGAUUAUUAGGAAAACCUGAUUAAUACGGAUCCUCAGGUCCUACCAAUAGAGUUGUAAAUUCAGUGGAUCACAGUGGGGUCCAUAGAUAUAUAUUUCUGACAAUCUUUCUUGGUGAUUCAGGUGACACUACACUAUGGAUUCCACGUUGAUCUUUGUCCACAAAACAAUCAUUCAUUCAUUUAUUCAAUAAGCAAUUAUGGAUCCUUGCUCUGGGCUUGGCCUUAGAGAUUCUUGGACUUCAACAGAGAACAUAUGCAGUCCCUGCCCUCCUGGGCACAGCCUCCUUCUCUUCCCUGUCAUCACUGGUGGUUGGUUAUAGAGGUCAUGAGUAUGGUACUGCAGCAAGAGCCAAUCCUAGUGCACCUUGUCUGACUACAUGACCUUGGGAAAGUACUUAGCCACUCUCUGCCUCAGUUACCUCAUUUGUAGAAUGGGCACAAUAAUCCUCACAUCACAUGAUGGAUGCUCAAUAAAUUGCAGUUACUAUUAAUAAUAAAUUAAUUAGAAAUAAUAAAUAUAUCUUAAUAAUAAAACUCAUAUAGUGUUCCUGACAAGUAUGUUUAAACUAAGUCCAAUCAUGAGCAAAUAAUGAGACAAAUUCUGAACUACAAAUCCAUAAUACAAACAUACUGGCACUCUUUGAAAACAUCAGUCUCAGGCUAGGGCUGUAACUCAGUGAUAGAGUGCUUGCCUAGCAUGUGUGAGGCCCUGAGUUUGAUCCCUAGCACUGAAAAAAAAUGUGUAUGUGCCAAUAUCACAAAAAGCAAAUGUAAGAAACUUUUCUAGAUUUUAAAACAUGAAAGGGAUAUACAACCAAAUUCAAAAUGUUCUUCAAGUUUGGAUUAUUGAUUUUAAAAAUAUAUAUCUAUAAAGAACAUUACCAAAAUAACCAAGAUAUGAAUAUUAACUUACACAACACUGUAGCAAUGUUAAAUUUCUUUUUAUUUAUUUAUUUUUUUAGGACACAAUACCUUUAUUUUACUUAUCUAUGUGGCACUGAGGAUCUAAGCCAAUGCCCCACGCAUGCAAGGCAAGCGCACUACCACUGAGCCACAACUCUAGCCCUGCAAUGUUAAAUUUCUUGAGUGUGAUAAUUACACUAUAUAAAUGCCCUCAUUCUUAAGAGAUAUAUGCUGAAACACUCAGAGAUAAAGCGUUGCUGGGGCUAACAUGCAUGAAGCCCUGGAUUAAAUCCCCAGCACCAUAAAGAGAGAGAAAAAGAGAGACAAAGGGUCAUGCUGUCUAUAAACAACUCUCAAAUGGUUCAGAAAAUUGCAUGUGUAGGGAUAGGGAGACAACAGAGAGAAAAGGAGAAAGAUGGGAAGAAAGACAACAGAGAAUUUGCAGCAAAAUGUUAAUAACUGAUAUAUUAAGUGAACAUGUGGGUAUUCCUAUUCUGUUCUUCCAAUUUACUAUAUAGAUUUGGAAUUUUUAAAUAAAAAUUAGGAAAGGUGAAAUUUAAUGUUUUUUAAAAACAAUAUGCAAGAUAGUGGUUGAAUUGGGAGGGAGGAGUAACUUGGAGGGAGCUCUCUCAGGGUGUUGGGGACGCUGUAUGUCCUGAACUGAAUGUGUUUGUUUCAGUAGGAUUUUUAAGCUGGACACUGAAGAUCCUACUCCUUUUUGCUUGUAUGUUAUAUGUCAAUGAUUAUAAGUUUAUUUAGAAUGAUUUUCAUAUUAAAGCAUUCUCCACUACACCCUUCCCUCUGAUCUAAGUCUUUGAUGCAAGACAGCCUUGGCAAGAGUAGAAGCUGGAAGGAAGGCUGGGGUUAGGCUCCCCUUCCCUGACUGUUAUGCCAUCUCCAGGGGGAGGAGAGGAGGCCUGAGUCUGAGGACAGCUUGCCGGGGCCUGGCUCCUUGGGAGGACUCAAGCUGUGUCCAGGAGGGCUCUAGCCUGCUCCUCUGAGCCAUGCCUGACUUCUGCUGUCAGGCCCUCAGGCAGGAGGUUAGCCUUGACUCCACACUGCUCUGGUCUCAGUGUUCCCCUCUUUGUCAGCUCUGUGGGCCCAGAUGGAUGUGGGAUUAAUGAGGCAUCUCAUCUGGUGUGAGAAGUAAGUCGAGGGGUCACAUUUCCCACUCCUUGCCUUGUUCCCUGUGAGCUUGAUCUGAUCAGCCUCACUAGAUGGAAACAGGGAUGUAGUCACCUCUCUGUGUUUUACAGAUUAAUUGCUGGAGUCCUCAGCUGCCUCCAUUGAUAAACAUGAUAGCAACAGCUAACACAUACAUGGAGCUAGAUAUGUGCCCAGUCCUGUUCUAAUGUAUUUAAUGUAUAUAAUACAACAACUCUCUGAGGUAAUAUUUUUUACCCAUUUUACAUACAGGGAAACAGAGGUAUACCCUCCAGCCUUCAAAAUCAUUUGCCUAAGCGGAUUUGACUGCAUAAUUUGCAGGGCCCAGUAUAAAAUUAAAACAUGAGGACCUUGUUCAAAACAUAUUAAGACUUUCAAGAUACCAAACAUCAAGCCAAGCAUAAAGCCUAUUUAAGGAGGGGGCCCUGUGAGACUACACAGGUCUGCAUACCCACAGGCCAGACCUGUACAUUACUUAAGUAGCAGUGGGAACUUGAACCCAAACAGUCUGACU